UUAUCUGAAUGCCGUGCGCGAUGUUAC
rnacentral:sRNA from 1 species